rnacentral:lncRNA from 1 species
UGUAUAUAAGUUAAACUCUUACCAGAAUAGUACUUGACUUUGCAUCCGAAAGAAAGUUCAGAAACGGGAGUGUCCUCUUUACAAUAAUGAAUACAAGUAGCUACAUCACUAUUGUCUUCGAAAACACAUUCGUCAUCUCUCCCACACUCUCUGCAUAAGAAAUCACGCCUCCAAGAGAGCUCAAAUCCGUAACCCAGGGCCUGAUGAAUGCUGGAUAACGAAGACGAUAUGUUAGGUGAAAUCCCCGGAGCUGAUGACCAUGCCACAGUUUCAACUCUGCAACCGCCUGCUAAAUCUGAAUCUUGCAAUAUUUCACCUACGACAAGAUAGCUAAAACUAGAAUUGGUAGCAGUUGUAUUUGUGCUACAAAAACUUGUAGGAAUGUAUAGUGACGAGUUGAUUGGACCACGACAGUUGACAUAGUUGAUAUCGUUGUCAACACUAAGCCAUCCGAAGAUUAGGCUAGUCAUGGCAUCGUAACUUGCCCUGUGUUCUGGAAAAACAGAGCAAUUAUCGCUCUGAUUUUUAAGGCUGGGAUCGAGUAGCCUAAUUGAGAAGUUCGUAUAGUUAAUUUCCUGGACGUAGAAUUUUCGCGACUUGUAAUGGAAAAUGGUUUCAUUGUUCUGGCAAUCGAGUUCAUAUCCGGUCUUACCACAAUACUCGGGAUCAGACCUCAAUCCGAAGGGGAAUUUUAUAUCGCGAAUAUCGCCACAGGAAGAAGGGACACAUUGAGAGGUAUUCUGGGCUAUAGAGCUUGUUAUGAAUGUAACAAAUAGAAAAACAGUAGCAAAAAAUGAAUUUGUUAUGGACAUUUUGUCAAUUGAAUAUACCGAGGAAAAUAGAAAGACACUAAUGAUAAUUCUUUUUUUCUUGAUGUGUGGUUUAUAUAAGGAAUAAAAAUGACUUUUCUUGCAGCGUGUGCAAUUAAAAGUUAGGACUAUUGAUUUGUUAAAAUGAAGUUGAAUAUGUUAACAAAUGUUUUGCCCAGUCUUAUUCACACACGUUGCUUUCAGUAGCAUGACAGAGUGGGAUUAUGACAUUUUCAAGAUAAAUUGGGUGGGGGAAAUGAUAUUUUAGUUGCCAUUUAUUGAAAGUCAAAAAUAUUUAUUGAAAGAUUCAAGAGAGAAUGACUAAAAUGGUCCUUUAAAUCAGAAGGUUUUAUAAUAGUUCUUUUAAGUGCGCACUAAGCAAUUUAGGUCUUUUAAGUUUGUUAACGAGUUACUUUUUAAGCAUGAGUGCACCAAUUGCUAUACCGCCAUACACCAAUACAAAAACUGCCAAAGAAGAACAUAAAAACAAGUUAGAAAAUUUUUAUGACAUGAGUAUAACUUAUAAUGUCGAUGUAUAUAAGUUAAACUCUUACCAGAAUAGUACUUGACUUUGCAUCCGAAAGAAAGUUCAGAAACGGGAGUGUCCUCUUUACAAUAAUGAAUACAAGUAGCUACAUCACUAUUGUCUUCGAAAACACAUUCGUCAUCUCUCCCACACUCUCUGCAUAAGAAAUCACGCCUCCAAGAGAGCUCAAAUCCGUAACCCAGGGCCUGAUGAAUGCUGGAUAACGAAGACGAUAUGUUAGGUGAAAUCCCCGGAGCUGAUGACCAUGCCACAGUUUCAACUCUGCAACCGCCUGCUAAAUCUGAAUCUUGCAAUAUUUCACCUACGACAAGAUAGCUAAAACUAGAAUUGGUAGCAGUUGUAUUUGUGCUACAAAAACUUGUAGGAAUGUAUAGUGACG